AAUAGCCUAACGGCUGAACCAGCAACUUGGAGGAAUGUAUAGGUAAAGCUAAAUGUAUUUUUUUAUAGUAAUACAUAUUCGAUUUAUUCGUGUAAAGUUCUAGAUAGAAUUAUGAUAAUGACAUUGUCUAUCUAUAAGUCUUGGCCAAACUACGUGCCAGCAGUCGCGGUAAGACGUAAAAGACUAGUGUUAUUCAUCUUUAAUAGGUUUAAAGCGUACCUAGACGGUAAAUCAAGCCUUAAUGGGACUAAUUUAACUAGAGUUAGAUGUAAGGGUGCAUAAACGUACUGUUGAGUGUAGAGAUGAAAUUCUUUUAUACCAGAUUAUUGGCACGGGUUUAGGCGAAAGCAUCACCUUAUGUAAUAACUGACGUUGAGAGACGAAGGCUUUGUGUCGCGAACAGGAUUAGAUACCCCAGUAGUCUAAGCAGAAAAUGAUGAGUGUCAUAGGCUAAAUAUUAUUUGGUCUAUAAAUGAAAGUGUAAGCAUUCCACCUCAAGAGUAAUUUGGCAACAUUGGAAUUGAAAUCAUUAGACCGUUUCUGAAACCAGUAGUGAAGUAUGUUGUUUAAUUAGAUAAUCCACAAAAAACCUUACCACAAUUUGAAUAUUUUACAAGUGUUGCACGGCUGUCUUCAGUUAAUGUCGUGAGAUUAUGGUUAGCUCCAUUAAAUUAACGUAAACCCUUACUUUAUUUUAUUAAAUAUAAAGUUGUUCGCCGCUAGAUUGGUUAGAUAAAAGGGACUAAGACAAGUCAUCAUGGCCUUAAUAUUGUGGGCUAUAGACGUGCCGCAUAUGCCUAACAAAGGGAUGCUAAAUUGCAAAAUUAAGCUAAUCCCCCUAAAUACGGAUAUAUAUGUCAU
rnacentral:rRNA from 1 species